rnacentral:tRNA from 1 species
GUUUCUGUAGUGUAGUGGUCAUCACGUUUGCUUAACAUGCAAAAGGUCCCCAGUUCGAAACUGGGCGUAAACA